UAGUAACUGCGAGUGAAGAGGGAAAAGCUCAAAUUUUGAAUCUGGCGGUCUUCGUGGCCGUCCGAGUUGUAAUCUAGAGAAGCGUCUUCCGCGCUGGACCGUGUACAAGUCUCCUGGAAGGGAGCGUCAUAGAGGGUGAGAAUCCCGUCUUUGACACGGACCCCCAGUGCUAUGUGAUGCGCUCUCGAAGAGUCGAGUUGUUUGGGAAUGCAGCUCAAAAUGGGUGGUAAAUUCCAUCUAAAGCUAAAUACAGGCGAGAGACCGAUAGCGAACAAGUACCGUGAGGGAAAGAUGAAAAGAACUUUGGAAAGAGAGUUAAACAGUACGUGAAAUUGCUGAAAGGGAAACGCUUGAUGUCAGUCGCGUCGGCCAGGGAUCAACCUCGCUUCAUCGCUUGGUGCAUUUCUUGGUCGGACGGGUCAGCGUCAGUUUCGAUCGUCGUACAAUGGCAGAGGGAACGUGGCACCUCCAGGGGUGUGUUAUAGCCCUCGGUCGUAUGCGUCGGUGGGGACUGAGGAACUCGGCACGACCUUCGCUGGUCUGUGUCUAGGAUGCUGGCAUAAUGGCCUUAAGCGA
rnacentral:rRNA from 1 species